rnacentral:lncRNA from 1 species
UACAGGAGUGGUUAAUGAAUGUCAUAUGAUCAGGUGUCACAUGUCAUGUUCAGUACAGGAGUGGUAACGAAUGUUGUAUGAUCAGGUGUCACAUGUCAUGUUCAGUACAGGAGUGGUGAAUGAAUGUUGUAUGAUCAGGUGUCACAUGUCAUGUUCAGUACAUUAGUGGUUAAUGAAUGUUGUAUGAUGUGGUGUCACAUGUCAUGUUCAGUACAGAAGUAGUAAAUGAAUUUAGUACA